UACGUAGGGAGCAAGCGUUGUCCGGAAUCAUUGGGCGUAAAGCGCGCGUAGGUGGCCUCAUAAGUCCGCUGUGAAAGUCAAAGGCUCAACCUUUGAAAGCCGGUGGAUACUGUGAGGCUAGAGUACGGAAGAGGCGAGUGGAAUUCCUGGUGUAGCGGUGGAAUGCGCAGAUAUCAGGAGGAACACCAAUAGCGAAGGCAGCUCGCUGGGACGUUUACUGACACUGAGGCGCGAAAGCCAGGGGAGCGAACGGG
rnacentral:rRNA from 1 species